GGCAGCGUAGCUCAGUGGCAGAGCAGGGGACUCAUAAGCCCUUGGUCGGUAGUUCAAAUCUACCCGCUGCCACCA
rnacentral:tRNA from 13 species